AUGGUGGAUCGGUUGGAUAUUCACGAUUUUAUCAAAAGCUGUCCACCCCUAUCAAUAACCACUCAAUUCACUCAUAACAGUCCCUGCAAAAAAUCACUCAUGGAACCAUCAUACUCCCUCAGCUUAUUUCCUUGCAAUCUCUCUUCAAUCCCGUUGAGCUCAAUCUCCAUACUCACCCUCAAUCCAAACUUCUCAUAA